CACUCCUCCACCUACAUCCACCUCUCCUCCUGAUUUCUCCUGUGUCCCUCUAUCACUCUUUUCUCUUGUCCUCACUGUGCCAGUAAUUAUUUCAGUCUGUGUUCUGGUUCUUGUGGUGUUACUGGUUCUGCUGGUGAGACGAUAGGUUCAAAGGAAAACUGAAUGGGAGGAGUUGGAGAUGAUGACAUCACGUACAGCAAAGGCUCAAGUCAUCACCAACAGCCAAUCAGAGGAAGCAGAGAAAGUCAUCCAGCUGUUGUCCACUCAGCCCUGAGAACUGAAGACAUCAGUUAUGGACAAACAGCUGUGUGACCGAACAGGCCCUGAGACUUUAAAACAGAGCCAGACGUCGUCUACUCCUCACUGAACUAGUCCACCAGUCCAACCACUGACAUCCAGCUGCUGGUCUCUAACUGGUCCACACAGCCACACAAUGUUGAUUUGCAUAUAUUCUGUAGUGUCUUCUCAUUAUAAUAUACACUCUCAGUGUUUGUAUGAGUGUAUGUUGUAUAACUAAAAUAUGAAUGUCAUGUGUACAGCAGUGUCCUGCCUUCUCUGCAGCAUCCAUAAACUUUGCUGUCACAUGUUGUUCCUGUCGUGUGGUUCAGUGGGUUUCAGAAGUAUUGCUGAUGGAAAAUGUGAAUUGUGUUUCUAACUGAUACACACCUCUAUUCAGAGCAGAUAACAAAGAACAGACAAACAGCUUAACCUCAACCACAGAUUAAAAACAGCAGGAACAUCUUUCAGUGCCUGAAAUAACUCCGAACAAAUGGUUUGUCUGAAGAGUUGAGUAUCAAUUUGUGUAAAGUCAAUCAAAUUGGUAAGAUUUUACUUCACCAAGACUAAUGUUGAAUUAGUUUUAAUCCUAAACAGGCACUUUUUCUGAUCACAGCUUUUCUAUUUGGGGUUUCUAAUGAAUCUUAAUCAAAUCAAACCUCAACACUAGAUUAAAUUUAAAUCAGUGAGCUGCCUUCAUGUACAGUCUGAGGGAUUUUCUCAUAUGUAAAAUUGCUGAAACUGUCUCCUCACUCUGUGAGUCACACCUG